AUGGCUCAGGACGAACGCUGGCGGCGUGCCUAACACAUGCAAGUCGAGCGGGGAGAGCCUUCGGGCUUUUCCAGCGGCGGACGGGUGAGUAACGCGUGAGCAACCUUUCCUUCACAGGGGAAUAACGCAGCGAAAGCUGUGCUAAUACCGCAUGAGACCACAAGAUCGCAUGGUCAAGGGGUCAAAGGAGCAAUCCGGUGAAGGGUGGGCUCGCGUCUGAUUAGCUAGUUGGCGGGGUAACGGCCCACCAAGGUAACGAUCAGUAGCCGACCUGAGAGGGUGAUCGGCCACACUGGGACUGAGACACGGCCCAGACUCCUACGGGAGGCAGCAGUGGGGAAUAUUGGGCAAUGGGCGAAAGCCUGACCCAGCAACGCCGCGUGAGGGAAGAAGGUUUUCGGAUCGUAAACCUCUGUCCUUGGUGAAGAGUAAGAGACGGUAGCCAAGGAGGAAGCCCCGGCUAACUACGUGCCAGCAGCCGCGGUAAUACGUAGGGGGCGAGCGUUGUCCGGAAUGAUUGGGCGUAAAGGGCGCGUAGGCGGCCUGCUAAGUCUGGAGUGAAAUUCCUGCUUUCAAGGUAGGAAGUGCUUUGGAAACUGGCGGGCUGGAGUGCAGGAGAGGUUAGCGGAAUUCCCGGUGUAGCGGUGAAAUGCGUAGAGAUCGGGAGGAACACCAGUGGCGAAGGCGGCUAACUGGACUGUAACUGACGCUGAGGCGCGAAAGUGUGGGGAGCAAACAGGAUUAGAUACCCUGGUAGUCCACACUGUAAACGAUGAAUGCUAGGUGUAGGGGGUAUCGACCCCUUCUGUGCCGGAGUAAACACAAUAAGCAUUCCGCCU
rnacentral:rRNA from 1 species